rnacentral:rRNA from 1 species
GGUUGAUCCUGCCAGAGGUCACUGCUAUCAGUGUUCGACUAAGCCAUGCAAGUCAAAUGUUCUUCGUGAACAUGGCGGACUGCUCAGUAACACGUGGAUAACCUGCCCUUAGGAUUGGCAUAACACCGGGAAACUGGUGAUAAUACCGAAUAGACCAUUUAUGCUGGAAUGCUUUUUGGUUCAAAGGCUUCGGCUGCCUAAGGAUGGAUCUGCGGCCUAUCAGGUAGUAGUGGGUGUAAUGUACCUACUAGCCUACGACGGGUACGGGUUGUGAGAGCAAGAGCCCGGAGAUGGAUUCUGAGACAUGAAUCCAGGCCCUACGGGGCGCAGCAGGCGCGAAAACUUUACAAUGCGGGAAACCGCGAUAAGGGGACACUGAGUGCCAGCAUAUUAUGUUGGCUGUCCACAUGUAUAAAAACCAUGUGUUAGCAAGGGCCGGGCAAGACCGGUGCCAGCCGCCGCGGUAACACCGGCGGCCCGAGUGGUGAUCACUUUUAUUGGGUCUAAAGGGUCCGUAGCCGGUUUGAUCAGUCUUCUGGGAAAUCUGACAGCUCAACUGUUAGGCUUUCAGGGGAUACUGUUAGACUUGGGACCGGGAGAGGUAAGAGGUACUACAGGGGUAGGAGUGAAAUCUUGUAAUCCCUGUGGGACCACCAGUGGCGAAGGCGUCUUACCAGAACGGGUCCGACGGUGAGGGACGAAAGCUGGGGGCACGAACCGGAUUAGAUACCCGGGUAGUCCCAGCCGUAAACGAUGUUCGCUAGGUGUCAGGGACGGUGCGACCGUUUCUGGUGCCGUAGGGAAGCCGUGAAGCGAACCACCUGGGAAGUACGGCCGCAAGGCUGAAACUUAAAGGAAUUGGCGGGGGAGCACUACAACGAGUGGAGCCUGCGGUUUAAUUGGAUUCAACG